rnacentral:rRNA from 2 species
GCGAGUGAAGCGACAAAAGCUCAAAUUUGAAAUCUGGCACCUUCGGUGUCCGAGUUGUAAUUUGAAGAAGGUAACUUUGGAGUUGGCUCUUGUCUAUGUUCCUUGGAACAGGACGUCACAGAGGGUGAGAAUCCCGUGCGAUGAGAUGUCCAACUCUAUGUAAAGUGCUUUCGAAGAGUCGAGUUGUUUGGGAAUGCAGCUCUAAGUGGGUGGUAAAUUCCAUCUAAAGCUAAAUAUUGGCGAGAGACCGAUAGCGAACAAGUACAGUGAUGGAAAGAUGAAAAGAACUUUGAAAAGAGAGUGAAAAAGUACGUGAAAUUGUUGAAAGGGAAGGGUUUGAGAUCAGACUUGGUAUUUUGUAUGUCUUGCUUUCGGGUGGGGCCUCUGCAGUUUACUGGGCCAGCAUCGGUUUGGACGGUAGGAUAAUGACAUUGGAAUGUGGCACUACUUCGGUGGUGUGUUAUAGACUUUGUUGAUACUGCCUGUCUAGACCGAGGACUGCGUCUUUGACUAGGAUGCUGGCAUAAUGAUCCUAAACCGCC